rnacentral:rRNA from 1 species
UACGUAGGGGGCAAGCGUUGUCCGGAUUUAUUGGGCGUAAAGCGCGUGUAGGUGGCCAUGUGGGUCCGCUGUGAAAACUUGAGGCUCAACCUCAAGCUGUCGGUGGAAACCACAUGGCUAGAGUCCGGAAGAGGAGAGUGGAAUUCCUGGUGUAGCGGUGAAAUGCGCAGAUAUCAGGAAGAACACCAAUGGCGAAGGCAGCUCUCUGGGACGGUACUGACACUGAGACGCGAAAAGCGUGGGGAGCGAACAGG